GCGCGCGUAGCUCAAUGGAUAGAGCACUGGUCUACGGAACCAGAGGUUGCAGGUUCGAAUCUUGCCGCGCGUA
rnacentral:tRNA from 1 species